GUCGUAAAGCUCUGUCUUUGGGAAGAUAUUGACGGUCUUGAGGAGGAAGCCCGGCUAACUACGUGCAGCAGCCGCGGUAAUACGUAGGUGGUAGCGUUGUCCGGAUUUACUGGGCGUAAAGGGAGCGUAGGCGGAUUUUUAAGUGGGAUGUGAAAUACCCGGGCUCAACCUGGGUGCUGCAUUCCAAACUGGAAAUCUAGAGUGCAGGAGAGGAAAGUGGAAUUCCUAGUGUAGCGGUGAAAUGCGUAGAGAUUAGGAAGAACACCAGUGGCGAAGGCGACUUUCUGGACUGUAACUGACGCUGAGGCUCGAAAGCGUGGGGAGCAAACAGGAUUAAAUACCCUGGUAGUCCACGCCGUAAACAAUGAAUACUAGGUGUAGGGGUUGUCCUGACCUCUGUGCCGCCGCUAACGCAUUAAGUAUUCCGCCUGGGGAGUACGGUCGCAAGAUUAAAACUCAAAGGAAUUGACGGGGGCCCGCACAAGUAGCGGAGCAUGGUUUUUAAUUCGAAGCAACG
rnacentral:rRNA from 1 species